AGAGCUGAAACUCAGAUAUCUGAGGAGGGGACCCUGGGCAGUAAGGGCUGGUCUCUCUGGCAUCAGGGAAAACUGAAUCACAUGAGCUACUGCUAUAGGAAGGACUUGCUUCUGCUGGGGUGAAGAAGCAUGGCUGGGGUAAUGUUUCUAGGAAAAAGAGGCAGAAAGUCCCUUCACCCUCCUUCAGCCAUGCAGCUUCCCUCUAGCAUCCCCACCAUUGGCAGUGACUGAGAAGGAGCUGCUGGCUAAGCAGAAAGUUAGUUUGCCAAGUCCCAUCGCACACAUCACAAGCACCACCCACAAGAGAGUGGGACUGAAGCUAAGAGAAAAUUAAUAACCGGCAUGUCAAUCAAGGAAAUAGAUAUCUCCACUUGACAGCAGGCUCUGUAAACUACAGCACACAGGCCAAAUCCAGCCCACGAGCUAAGAAGGAGUCAUCGUGCAAGGGGAAUGACCCACAGGGCCCUGAGAAACCUGGAUGGCCCUUGAGACACCUCUAGACAAGAUGUUUAUCUUAUUGGUUUAGCAAUUCCACUCCAAGCACCCGAUUUUGUGGACAAACCCCAAUGGGUCUGCCAACUCUGGGAAUCAUUGUAGCUGUCACGCGCCAUGCUCACCACAGGAGAGAAAUCAUGAGGAGGGAAAAUGAGUAAUAGUAGGAGGUUGUGGGAUGAUAAAAAGCUGUUUAAUGUUUGACAAAUUCAAGUUCAUAAAGAAGUUUCCUUGAAUUUAAUAAAGAUGCUAAAAAUGUU